GACCCAUUAGCUCAGUUGGUAGAGCACUUGACUUUUAAUCAAGGUGUCCGGAGUUCGAAACUCCGAUGGGUCACCA
rnacentral:tRNA from 1 species